ensembl:lncRNA
CUAACUCACGGCUUGAAACAGUGAUUGAGCACCUGAUGGGAAGGCAGGGCCAACCCAGGGGCACUCAGGUGCAUGCAAUGCAGUGCAAUGCAAUGCAAUGCAAUGCACCGCACCUGAGUGACAGGAAGGGGUGCAGCCAGGAUCCACCCCUUCCCAGACCUCAUUUAAGGGUUGGCAGUGGAGGUGUAGGUGAUCCUUGCUGGGGAUCUCUGCAUAUCUGAGGUCUUUUCUGACUGAGAACCAGAACCACCUUUGCACGCUGUAUAUGAGAAGAUCUGCAUCAGCCUGUGAAUACUGUGAUUUGGGAAGAGACCAGGAAAGUAAAGAGUCAAGAUGAAUCCUCUUUUCCGAAGCUCACCUGAAAUUAAAUCACUUCCUGCAAUGGAGAAGUUCAGGCCCUUUUAGGUACUGAUUCUCUUUUAAAAUUCUCCUGAAAUGUAAAGGAAAAAAUGAUUCUGAUGUAGGAUUAUAAGAGUCUCAUGAAAGAAGUAUGGGGAGCCUGCAGAUCUUCUCUUUUCCCCUUUCCCUUGAGCUGGGCUAAAGUAGCCUUACAGAAAAACACUCCAAAAUGUCAUCUACCCAUGGGCUUGUGGCCCCAUCUCCUUGGCCUGAAUCCAACAGCAACUGGAGCACAGCCACAGGCCUCGUGGAGGAGCUACCAGAGGUCUUUGGAAUGCAGCCCUGUUUCUCCUGAGCAUUUAUCUGCUUCUCAAAUCAUUAAUGAGGAAAGCAGCCAGGAAGCACCAUGCUUAACCUCCUUUUCCCCACCGUGAUGAUCCAGAGAGAUGAUGCUCUGCAGAAGGGCAGAGUGGGAGCAGAGACCCAUUUGCUCAUGAAGAAGCUCCGGAAGGCCUUUAAAGGAUGGGAUGUAACAUGGAGCCGAGCAGUUGGCAAACACUGAUUUUAAGUGCAUUUGUACUUUGCUGACUGAUCCCGGAAUGGUCAAAGGAAGCAGCAUAAGACAAUGACUGACCUUCAAAUACAGGGUGGGAAUAUGCAGGCUGACUCUCAACAAGAAAACCCACCUAAAAGGGUAUAAUCAGACUUCCCCACAGGAGAUCUUUUCCUACAUUGCUGUUUAAUCCCUCCUACCAUACAGCCGUGUGCUCUUUUAAAACAGAUCGAUUGCGCAUUAGAAACAAACCAAAACGGACCAAAUAAACAACGAAAAAUACAAGAGGAUAUUAUGGUUUUGUCUGUAACAUGAAAUCAGCUGGAGUGGAAGAGGGGAUCGGAAGCACUCAGCUGGCCUACAAAAUCCUUAAGCUCUCUGGUUGCAGGCAAUAGAUGCAGUACAGCUAUGGGUGAACUCUGCAUGCUGAGUGUCCUACCAUGUGCAGCUGGCCCUGCCGGAACCUUCUCAUUGCAUUGACGUUGCUUGGAUCAUAACAGCACAUCAAGGGCAUGAGGACCGAAGGCUGCAUGUGAGCAGAGAGGGAUGUGAUCCCCUCCCCCAGGGUUUUGCUAUCAAAUCCAACAGGGCAGGUGAUGGUGGGAAGGUGGAUAUAGCUGAGGUCUGGACAGAGAGAAUCAUAGAUUGGAGUGGAAUGGCAUGGCAUGGCAUGG